CAGCAGCGGUAAUACGUAGGGGGCAAGCGUUAUCCGGAAUUACUGGGUGUAAAGGGAGCGUAGACGGUUAAACAAGUCUGAAGUGAAAUGCCGGGGCUCAACCCCGGAGCUGCUUUGGGAACUGUAGAACUGGAGUGUCGGAGGGGUAAGCGGAAUUCCCAGUGUAGCGGUGAAAUGCGUAGAUAUUGGGAGGAACACCGGCGGCGAAGGCGGCUUACUGGACGACAACUGACGUUGAGGCUCGAAGGCGUGGGUAGCAAACAGGAUUAGAGACCCGUGUAGUCCCUGUCUCUUAUACACA
rnacentral:rRNA from 1 species